rnacentral:SRP_RNA from 1 species
AAUUAAUAACGGUACAACAAGUAUGUAUUGAAUCAGGUCAGGACCGGAAGGUAGCAGCCUUAAGAACCUCUACUUGUGUGUACCCUUUUUAUAUUCC